rnacentral:rRNA from 1 species
CAGUCGCCGCGGUAAUACGUAGGUGGCAAGCGUUGUCCGGAGUUAUUGGGCGUAAAGGGCUCGCAGGCGGUUUCUUAAGUCUGAUGUGAAAGCCCCCGGCUCAACCGGGGAGGGUCAUUGGAAACUGGGAAACUUGAGUGCAGAAGAGGAGAGUAGAAUUCCACGUGUAGCGGUGAAAUGCGUAGAGAUGUGGAGGAACACCAGUGGCGAAGGCGACUCUCUGGUCUGUAACUGACGCUGAGGAGCGAAAGCGUGGGGAGCGAACAGGAUUAGAUACCCCAGUAGUCCCUGUCUCUUAUAC